GGUGCGCGAUGCGCAUGCGCGGCGGUCAGCUUCCCGGCGCCAUUUUGUGUGAGGCUCUUUCCCAUUUUAGGCCGCGGCAGGAGACAGCGGGAGGGGGCGGCGGGGAACCGCGGGGCUGAAGUCCCGGUAGUGAGCCCUCACGGAGGCGGUAGGCCCGGCAGGGAGCCCGGCAGGGUGCUGUGAAGAGGCAGCGAGUCGUUUCGGCUUCGUAGCACCUCGAGUGAUGGCGGGGACGGCCGGUCUCUCUCUCCCUCUCGGCUGCGAUGGCGGAAGUGAAGAGGGGGCGGAGGGUCCCUCUGGUGGCUGCUCGGAGGAACCGCUCGGGCCGGGAUGGAGCUGAGGGGGCUCGGCGGGCAACAGGAAAUCAGCUGAACAAAAUCAGCUCUGCCCUGGAACCUGUCCAGCCCACCGUUACCAAGAAGCAUCAGCACACAAGACCGCACUUGCUUCAUGCUGCUCUGACCACAUCACACUGAAAGCAUUCUGCAAACAAGCCAUGACAGAUCAGCACAGCUGUGCUGUAUGGCACACCCCUGUUCUCAUCUACUGAACUUCACAGGCCCUACCAUGAAGUUCAAGGAAUACAAACACUGCAGCUCUACAAAAACAAUUAGGCUGGUAACCAAAGAAGUGUAUGUUUAUGCUUCUCCUUUUAAAACUGUGUGCUCACUAUGGACUUCCCAUUGCCCAGGGUCAAGAUGCCAGAAACACUGCUCCUAUAGAGGCUAAGACAACGUAUUAGGAAAUACUUCUGCUUCUCUUGUACUUUAUGAAUUUAAGGCAUCUAAAAAGGCAGAAAUAAUCCAUCCUGAAAGCAACACAAUAAAAGUGAAACAACCUA